AGUUCUUUAGUAUAAUUUUAGUAUGUUUGAUUUCCAAUCAAGUGGUUUAUAGAAUUAA
rnacentral:tRNA from 1 species